AGCGACGUGGCCUAAUGGAUACAGCACAGGUCUUAAGAGUCAGAGGACCUGGGUUCUAAUUCCAGCUCUGCUG
rnacentral:tRNA from 1 species